UUAUAUAGUAAUCGCUUAUAAUUCUAGCGAUUAUUCGAUUCUCGAAUGCGUCCAAAGUAUAUCUCAGUCAUGUUAAAACAGCGGCGAGCAGCGCUUAAUGCAGUCGUCUCUACCUGUAGCGUGAUACAAAG
rnacentral:snoRNA from 1 species